rnacentral:rRNA from 1 species
UAGGGAAUCUUCCGCAAUGGACGCAAGUCUGACGGAGCAACGCCGCGUGAGUGAAGAAGGAUUUCGGUUCGUAAAACUCUGUUGUUAGAGAAGAACAGCUCAUAGAGUAACUGUUAUGCGUGUGACGGUAUCUAACCAGAAAGCCACGGCUAACUACGUGCCAGCAGCCGCGGUAAUACGUAGGUGGCAAGCGUUGUCCGGAUUUAUUGGGCGUAAAGCGAGCGCAGGCGGUUAGAUAAGUCUGAAGUUAAAGGCAGUGGCUCAACCAUUGUAGGCUUUGGAAACUGUUUAACUGGAGUGCAGAAGGGGAGAGUGGAAUUCCAUGUGUAGCGGUGAAAUGCGUAGCUAUAUGGAGGAACCCCGGUGGCGAAAGCGGCUCUCUGGUCUGUAACUGACGCUGAGGCUCGAAAGCGUGGGGAGCGAACAGG